rnacentral:lncRNA from 1 species
UGGUUUUAUUCAAGGAAAUAAUUGUAGAUCGAGAAUUAGAGAAUUUAAAGUUAAAUGUCAAGAAAAUGGACUUACACCGAUUUUGAUGCCUGAGGAAAUUGAUACUAGAUGGAAUUCUAUGUAUGAAUUUUUAAAAACUUGUUAUAAAUAUAGAAUUCCUAUUACACUAGCUUUUAACCAACAUUGCGGUUCAUUUGCUGAUUCUGCUGAUUGCAUG